rnacentral:misc_RNA from 1 species
GAUGAAGAACGCAGCGAAAUGCGAUAAGUAAUGUGAAUUGCAGAAUUCAGUGAAUCAUCGAAUCUUUGAACGCACAUUGCGCCCGCCAGUAUUCUGGCGGGCAUGCCUGUCCGAGCGUCAUUUCAACCCUCGAACCCCUCCGGGGGGUCGGCGUUGGGGAUCGGCCCUUUACGGGGCCGGCCCCGAAAUACAGUGGCGGUCUCGCCGCAGCCUCUCCUGCGCAGUAGUUUGCACACUCGCAUCGGGAGCGCGGCGCGUCCACAGCCGUUAAACACCCCAAACUUCUGAAAUGUUGACCUCGGAUCAGGUAGGACUACCCGCUGAACUUAAGCAUAUCAAUAAGCGGAGGA